GAUGAAGAACGUAGCGAAAUGCGAUACUUGGUGUGAAUUGCAGAAUCCCGUGAACCAUCGAGUCUUUGAACGCAAGUUGCGCCCGAAGCCAUUAGGCCGAGGGCACGCCUGCCUGGGCGUCACACGUCGUUGCCCCCCCAUCUACUCCUUCGGGAUUGCGGGGGGCGGAUGAUGGCCUCCCGUGCGCCUCGCCGCGCGGUUGGCAUAAAUGCCAAGUCCUCGGCGACGCACGCCACGACAAUCGGUGGUUGCGAAACCUCGGUUGCCCGUCGUGUGCGGUCGUCGCGCAUCGAGGGCUCGAAAAAAUUGCCGGGUUCCGGCUCGGCUUUCAACGCGACCCCAGGUCAGGCGGGGUUACCCGCUGAAUUUAAGCAGAUCAAUAAGCGGAGGA
rnacentral:misc_RNA from 1 species